rnacentral:rRNA from 1 species
AUGCCGGAGGGGAUAAAUAAUACAACUAUUGUGCUUAUUCCGAAAGUGAAGAACCCCCAGUCGAUAAAAGAUUUUCGGCCAAUCAGUCUAUGCAAUGUCAUAUAUAAAAUUAUCUCCAAGUGUCUUGUCAACAGACUCAGACCUCAGUUGGACGGUAUGAUUUCUCCAACCCAAAGUGCGUUCAUCCCUGGAAGA